AAAUCUAGAACGUUUCGAAUUUACCUACUUUAAUGCCGUGACAGCAAAAGCUUCCCAAGUAAUUGUUGUUCCGUAGAUCGCGGUUCGACACUAACUGAAAAAUUGUUGUUGUAUCAGAUGCGACAUCAAGUUAAUUAUUACAUUUAGCGUACUGCAAGUUAGACAUAAACAUGUUCAUGCGAUAUUAGUGCAGAAAACACUAUAUACUAGGGGUUAGGAUUUUCUCCGAACGUUUCGCGUCGGCUCUCCUCGACCUAAUGUCGAGUAAUGUACGUACGUCGUCUGACACAAGCGAAGCAAGUUGGAAGAUGUGUCUUCGUCGAAUUGAAGAGAGCCCAACCAAGCCUAGGACGCUUGUUUGAAUUUGGACAUCCGCGUAUUUCUUCAUAGUUUCGAAGCAGUCCAAUGUAACAAUCACGGUCAUUACGAGGAAUCCUCGUGCAGCUUUGCGAUGCCACCGUAAUAACGCCACUGUACCCCUUUAAUAUUGAUACGAUCACAUUCAUGGCCGAGUAAAAUGCCACAGCCAGGUAGGAGUACGCGGAGCAAACAUUCGGCAUCAGCAGCAGCAGCAGCAGAGAACUAGCGGGGUAAGAAUUGUUUCGAACAAUGCAAACCCCCGCAGAGAUCAACUAGCCCCUGCCGCAAGUAAAGGCAGAUGAAAUCGGCCCAGCGUUUAUGGGGUCGACCGUAUCUAUGAAACGUCUUCUCGACGUUGCUGUCUUUCCGUUAUCGCCACUGCUGCUUCCUUUUUGGCUACGGCCGUCGGCGCCGCAGCUUUCUAACCCUCAUCCUGUGGCACCGACGUAUCAAUUAAUCAUGUUCGCUCAAUAAUAAAUAGUCCAACAAGACGGCCAUCGCCGCCGGAUUAGACGUUUACGAUUUCAUCCUGUCACUUUGUCGUUCAUUCUCGUAGAAUGAACUCAUCCUGCGCAAGACAAGCAAGGGACAGAGAGCGCCUGUGCGGGUGUGGAAAAUAAUAAACGAGUGGGUUUGUGGUGACGCACAGGCAAAACGAAGGCCGUGUAGUAAGGUAACGGUAAUUACAGCGCGAACGUUAUGGCGCACCGACU